CCGCUUUAAACCAUACUUCCAAGUUGGAAACAUUGGACGCCAAACCCAAGUCAUGGAAGAUGAUAUUGAAAUUGCGGCAUACAUGUUUCGACGUACAGUCCCUUCUUUGCACAUGACACCUGAAGAUGUUCGUUAGAUGGUUGGAGCUUGGAGGGAUAGGAUCAUAAUCUGCAUGGGAAUUUACGGUCCCAACGCAAAUUUGAUCAAGGCCUUUCUAGAUUCCGGGGCCAAAGCUGUUAUAUGCCCUGCAGCUGAGCCCCAUGAUG